GAUGAACGCUGGCGGCGUGCCUAAUACAUGCAAGUCGAGCGAACAGACGAGGAGCUUGCUCCUCUGACGUUAGCGGCGGACGGGUGAGUAACACGUGGAUAACCUACCUAUAAGACUGGGAUAACUUCGGGAAACCGGAGCUAAUACCGGAUAAUAUAUUGAACCGCAUGGUUCAAUAGUGAAAGACGGUUUUGCUGUCACUUAUAGAUGGAUCCGCGCCACAUUAGCUAGUUGGUAAGGUAACGGCUUACCAAGGCAACGAUGCGUAGCCGACCUGAGAGGGUGAUCGGCCACACUGGAACUGAGACACAGUCCAGACUCCUACGGGAAGCAGCAGUAGGGAAUCUUCCGCAAGGGGCGAAAGCUUGACGGAGCAACGCCGCGUGAGUGAUGAAGGUCUUCGGAUCGUAAAACUCUGUUAUUAGGGAAGAACAAAUGUGUAAGUAACUAUGCACGUCUUGACGGUACCUAAUCAGAAAGCCACGGCUAACUACGUG
rnacentral:rRNA from 1 species